ACGCCAUUCCUGUCGCCAUCAUCAGCAGCAGAAGUGAGGUACAACACGGCACACACCACGACAAGGAGUAUUGUUGAAAGGACAAUAGGCCAGCUGAAGCGCAGGUUCCACUGCCUGCACGCCGAGCUGCGCAUGGAGCCAAGCAGAUGCUGCGACAUCAUCGUGGCAUGCUGCGUGCUCCACAAUCUCGCCAAGAGAUACCCCUGCGCGAUGCCAGGGACUGCCAUCCCGCCUGAGGUUCCUGUGGAGCCCAUGGCAGCCGGCCGUGGAGAAAGCAACGAGGCCCGGCGUGCCCUUGUCGACCAGUUCUUCUGUUGAGCGAGGUUCUCCGCCUCCAUCUGCUGCUGGUCCUCAGCUUGCUGCUGAUACCUCUGCGCAGCUUCCCGGCACCAACGUCUCGUCUGCAAGACACGGGGAGCUGCUGCCCACUCUUCUGCUGCU